CGCAGGACUUUUGACGGCUCGGUGAGAUGAACUCAUAAGGGACUUCACAAGGACUCACGGUAACUCCCUCAGAUGCCCCAGUCAAUACCCCGCACCCAGAGACUUGCAAUCCACCAUGCAGGCAAGCCCGUGAGGACCCCCGAUGGGGAUCACCGUUUAUAACAGUUUAUAAUUGUGUUUUGGACACACACUUGUUUUUCCAUGUUAAUGUUAAUAAUGAUAGAAUGUAACAACACAGAGACAACCCUGACCACACAACACGACAUACAAGCCCAAAUAGGCACAAAACAUGCCAUAGGGUACUGGUUUCUACACCUGGUGUACAGGUGGCCCAGCGGGGCACCGUCUAAAAUUCAUUAGCCCAUUUACUUACGUCAUGACUUUUCUGGGAGCUGCAAACUGCCCGGCCACUACUGUGAGGCAUAACAUGCCAUCACAAAACCCACAUCGACACAGCUAAGCUGAGACAGCUAAUCACAACUCACUUAACCCUACCUUGACAGUAUAGCGGCCUAGCCGAGCAUGAGUUAUUCCUCAAAGAACUGACACACAAUUUACCUAAGUACUACUUCUAAGCCGACCACUACUACACGGUAACCAAUAAUAUUGCACUAAACACACGGUAGUGUAAGCCACAUUAACGCAGUUAACGAUACUCACUCACUACUAUUCUG